rnacentral:tRNA from 1 species
UUCUCUGUAGUUCAGUCGGUAGCGGACUGUUAAUCCGUAUGUCACUGGUUCGAGUCCAGUCAGAGGAGCCA